CCUACGGGGGGCUGCAGUAGGGAAUUUUCGGCAAUGGGGGGAACCCUGACCCAGCAACGCCGCGUGAAGGAUGAAGGUUUUCGGAUUGUAAACUUCUGUCGCGAGGGACGAAGAAUGACGGUACCUCGUAAGAAAGCCCCGGCUAACUACGUGCCAGCAGCCGCGGUAAUACGUAGGGGGCAAGCGUUGUCCGGAAUGACUGGGCGUAAAGGGAGUGUAGGCGGCCUUGUAAGUUAGAUGUGAAAUCCUACGGCUUAACCGUAGAACUGCAUCUAAAACUGUGAGGCUGGAGUGCAGGAGAGGUGAGUGGAAUUCCUAGUGUAGCGGUGGAAUGCGUAGAUAUUAGGAGGAACACCAGAGGCGAAGGCGACUCACUGGACUGUAACUGACGCUGAUGCUCGAAAGUGUGGGUAUCAAACAGGAUUAGAUACCCUUGUAGUC
rnacentral:rRNA from 1 species